rnacentral:rRNA from 1 species
AACGGACGCUGGCGGCAUGCCUAACACAUGCAAGUCGAACGAAGGCUUCGGCCUUAGUGGCGCACGGGUGAGUAACACGUGGGAACCUGCCUUUCGGUUCGGGAUAACGUUUGGAAACGAACGCUAACACCGGAUACGCCCUUCGGGGGAAAGUUCACGCCGAAAGAUGGGCCCGCGUCGGAUUAGGUAGUUGGUGAAGUAAUGGCUCACCAAGCCUGCGAUCCGUAGCUGGUCUGAGAGGAUGAUCAGCCACACUGGGACUGAGACACGGCCCAGACUCCUACGGAAGGCAGCAAUGGGGAAUAUUGGACAAUGGGCGCAAGCCUGAUCCAGCAAUGCCGCGUGAGUGAUGAAGGCCUUAGGGUUGUAAAGCUCUUUCGCACGCGACGAUGAUGACGGUAGCGUGAGAAGAAGCCCCGGCUAACUUCGUGCCAGCCGCCGCCGUAAAAC